CAUGGCGCCCUGUGUGGAUUACACAGUCGCUCACCCAGACCCAAGGACGAGCUCCUCCGAGCUCCUGGCAGAGGGUAAAGGCCUGAUGCGUGGGACGCACAAAGCCCCCGGGUUUACCGGACUGCGCUGGAGAAGACAGUUGUGUGCACGCCUGUCUCUGCCAGAUUACAGCUCCUGGAGGCAGGGAUGACAUCACACCCGCCUCAUCCUUCACAGUGCCCAGCCGUAGGAGGCACACAAAAAGCUGUUAAUGGGAUUGGAAUAUCUUUCACUGAAUUCAACUGAACGUAAUGUCGCCAAAUUGACGAUGCUUCAUUUGGUGUCUACUUCUGGACUUACCAAGCCUGCCACGACCUGCUCAAGUAUUCAACUCUGAAGACAGGAAGGUCCACUUUCUCUACCUUGGAAAGCCAGGAAGGCACCAGAAAACUGCUCUAUCCUCAGUGACAACAGCUUCCCUUCAAAAGGGGAUAAGAUAUCUCAGGUUCAUUGAAAAUAGUUACUUCCCCAGAAUUUGGUGUAGACACAGGUGAAUCCCUUGGAAAAUCUCCUCUAAAAGGGUGAGUUACCUUCAUGGCUUUCAAAGGAGUUAAGAUUGCCUCCUUCAGGAAGACUGAUGGUCUAUAGGUUUUCAGGUAAUUCAGGGAAGCGGGAGAGCCCCUCAAAAGAGAAUUUUCUU